AUAUAUAUAUAUAUAUAUAUUCACUCCAGUCUAUCGAGCUUGACACAGGAGCACAAAAAUACAUUCUUAUUCUAUCAUUCUCUCCUCUUUUCUUUUCUUUUCUUUUCUUUUCUAAAAGAAACACAAAUAUGUAUCCUUCCUCCUCCUUCCUUUCUUUUCUUUGUUUAUUCUUUUGUCUGAUAGUAACAUAAAUAUCUAUCCCAAGUUCAACUAAAAGUCAUUUUGGACAUAAGGACUGAGCACAAUUGCCGAAGUUGCUAUAUUUCACAUCUGAUCUGAGGCUGGUGCUGCUCUUAGUAUUAACAGUGUCAGUGGAGGGCACAUUGAUCACCAAACACCUGCUGCUUGAGCUCUUUGGUCUGCAACACAAGCUGCAGUAACAUAACCUGUAUUAAAGAGAGAAAUCGCUCUAAUCAAAACAAGGUCACGCUAUUGGGAAGGACAGUAAUUAAUUGCACAAAAUGUUGGCUAUAUUACAGCAGUUAAAAAACUUCCUGAUAAUUAGUUGCAUUAGUUGUCAUUCCAGCAAAAAUACCUCUAACAGUUCUUUUUUAAUGAAGUACCUCGAACAGUUCUUUGGAGUAAUUUUGCAGAGCCUCUUGGCUGACAAUUGUAAUAAUCUUGCACCCUAUCAUAUGAAACUACAUGCACGUAUGAAACUCAGUAUAAACUGGUAUUCAGGUUUGUACAAACAUGUCAUUAUUUCAUUAGGUGAUGCCUAAGAAACGGAAAUUUAUCUUCAUAGUUAUAGACACUCAACUUGUAUGAUCUUUCUAGAAUACUUCCACUCUGUUGUUGAGACAUAUAAAGAUGCAAAGAUGAGAUAUAUAACAAGCAAUGAGAAGAUAGAAUUUCAAAUUUAAGAAAGUUACCUUUACCAUCCUGAACGGCUUUCCUGAUGUGAGUGGCUGCUGAAUAAAUGUCUUUACUCGUCGCUUACUCCACUAUUAUCAAGUC
rnacentral:lncRNA from 1 species